rnacentral:rRNA from 1 species
UACGAAGGGGGCUAGCGUUGCUCGGAAUCACUGGGCGUAAAGGGCGCGUAGGCGGACUUUUAAGUCGGAGGUGAAAGCCCAGGGCUCAACCCUGGAAUUGCCUUCGAUACUGGGAGUCUUGAGUUCGGAAGAGGUUGGUGGAACUGCGAGUGUAGAGGUGAAAUUCGUAGAUAUUCGCAAGAACACCGGUGGCGAAGGCGGCCAACUGGUCCGAAACUGACGCUGAGGCGCGAAGGCGUGGGGAGCAAACAGG